GACAGAGGUCCCGAGCGUUAGGCGGAAUCACUGGGCUUAAAGCGUGUGUAGGCGGAUGCCUAAGUACCUUGUGAAAUCCCACGGCUCAACCGUGGAACUGCUUGGUAUACUGGGUGUCUUGAGCCACUUAGGGGCUACCGGAACAAAUGGUGGAGCGGUGAAAUGCGUAGAUAUCAUUUGGAACGCCAAUGGUGAAAACAGGUAGCUGGGAGUGUGCUGACGCUGAGACACGAAAGCCAGGGGAGCGAACGGG
rnacentral:rRNA from 1 species